AUCUAUAGGAUGGAACACAGGACCCCUAAUGAAGUGAAAGACCUCCGAAGGGAGACCCUCACUCAAGCCUCGGGACAGCCGCGGACCCAAGAAGACACUGAGACCG
rnacentral:pre_miRNA from 7 species